rnacentral:rRNA from 2 species
GUGAAAUUGAACUCGCUGUGAAGAUGCAGUGUACCCGCGGCAAGACGGAAAGACCCCGUGAACCUUUACUAUAGCUUGACACUGAACAUUGAGCCUUGAUGUGUAGGAUAGGUGGGAGGCUUUGAAGUGUGGACGCCAGUCUGCGUGGAGCCGACCUUGAAAUACCACCCUUUAAUGUUUGAUGUUCUAACGUGGACCCGUAAUCCGGGUUGCGGACAGUGUCUGGUGGGUAGUUUGACUGGGGCGGUCUCCUCCUAAAGAGUAACGGAGGAGCACGAAGGUUGGCUAAUCCUGGUCGGACAUCAGGAGGUUAGUGCAAUGGCAUAAGCCA